GCUGGGUGUGGUGGUGCGUGCCUGUAAUCCCAGCUACUCAGGAGGCUGAGGCAGGAGAAUUGCUUGAACCCAGGAGGCAGAGGUUGCAGUGAGCCGAGAUCGGGACAUUGCACUCCAGCCUGGGUGACAGAGCAAGACUCAGUCUCAG
rnacentral:sRNA from 1 species